CGGGUGAGUAACACGUGAGUGACCUGCCUUUUAGACUGGAACAACUUACCGAAAGGUGAGCUAAUGCCGGAUGAGUUAUAUAAGUGCAUGUUUAUAUAGGAAAAGUUGGGAGACCUGACGCUGAAAGAUGGACUCGCGUCCCAUUAGCUAGUUGGUAGGGUAAUGGCCUACCAAGGCGACGAUGGGUAGCCGGCCUGAGAGGGUGGCCGGCCACACUGGGGCUGAGACACGGCCCAGACUCCUACGGAAGGCAGCAG
rnacentral:rRNA from 1 species